CCUCCUGUAGCUGGAGGCUCAGUUGGAGCAGUGGCUGGAGACCUCCACCGGCACAGGAGACUGGACGACAAAUGCCAAACAGAUCACUCGCUCCUGGCUGAGGGACGGACUCAAACCUCGCUGCAUCACCAGAGACCUGCAGUGGGGAACCCCCGUACCUCACCCCGACUUUAAAGAGAAGGUGUUCUACGUUUGGUUCGACGCCCCCAUUGGUUAUCUGUCCAUCACUGCUAACUACACUGACCAGUGGGAGAAAUGGUGGAAGAAUCCUGAGCAGAUCAGUAAAAUUUAUAAAUUUGACUAGAACCUUAAGAAGAUCCAACAGCAUCUAUCGUCUGAACUCUAACUGACUCAUCUCAUCCCUACAUCUGA